GACGAACGCUGGCGGCGUGCUUAACACAUGCAAGUCGAACGGAAAGGCCCUGCUUUUGUGGGGUGCUCGAGUGGCGAACGGGUGAGUAACACGUGAGUAACCUGCCCUUGACUUUGGGAUAACUUCAGGAAACUGGGGCUAAUACCGGAUAGGAGCUCCUGCUGCAUGGUGGGGGUUGGAAAGUUUCGGCGGUUGGGGAUGGACUCGCGGCUUAUCAGCUCGUUGGUGGGGUAGUGGCUUACCAAGGCUUUGACGGGUAGCCGGCCUGAGAGGGUGACCGGCCACAUUGGGACUGAGAUACGGCCCAGACUCCUACGGGGGCAGCAGUGGGGAAUAUUGCACAAUGGGCGGAAGCCUGAUGCAGCAACGCCGCGUGCGGGAUGACGGCCUUCGGGUUGUAAACCGCUUUCGCCUGUGACGAAGCGUGAGUGACGGUAAUGGGUAAAGAAGCACCGGCUAACUAC
rnacentral:rRNA from 1 species